rnacentral:rRNA from 1 species
CAGCAGCCGCGGGAACACGUAGGGUGCAAGCGUUAAUCGGAAUUACUGGGCGUAAAGCGUGCGCAGGCGGUGUUGUAAGACUGAUGUGAAAUCCCCGGGCUCAACCUGGGAACUGCAUUGGUGACUGCAACGCUGGAGUGCGGCAGAGGGGGAUGGAAUUCCGCGUGUAGCAGUGAAAUGCGUAGAUAUGCGGAGGAACACCGAUGGCGAAGGCAAUCCCCUGGGCCUGCACUGACGCUCAUGCACGAAAGCGUGGGGAGCAAACAGGAUUAGAUACCCCCGUAGUCCCUGUCUCUUAUAC